GUUGGCUCAAAGGCUGAUCCACUCCAGAGGAGGUUUCGUAGGACAGAUCCCCUCGAUUCAUUGUCACUCGUUCAUGGAUCAUCCCGAUGAACAUCCUCAGGAGUGGAUUGGGCUUCAAGACAGCA
rnacentral:pre_miRNA from 1 species